rnacentral:tRNA from 1 species
AAGGCUUUAGCUUAAUUAAAGUAUCUGAGUUGCAUUCAGGAGAUGUAGAUUAAAAUUUUAUAGGUCUUG